GUUUAGGCGGGGGACCUAUCAUAGCACACGAGUAUCUCUCUUUGCUGGAGCAGCACAAGCCUGUAUUUCAGUGGGAGGAGAAUAGUGCUGAACAUUUCUUCUUGUACUCUGACAAUCAGAAUGUCCAGCAUGCUGUAUUUUACCCAACGCUCAUGUCACUUGCAAUGCGACUUGAGGAAGCUCGUACAUGGGGCGCAGGCAUAUCAAUUUGGGAAAUUGGUCAAGGUUUG
rnacentral:misc_RNA from 1 species